UGAUAGUUGCGCUAGGGAUAGUAAUGGAAAGCCCACAGCCUGACGAAGGAAGUGCGAGGACUUGCAAUGUAUAGCCCGACCUUUA
rnacentral:misc_RNA from 1 species